rnacentral:lncRNA from 1 species
CCCCAACUUAGAAACUUUGUUUGUCCUCAAGUAAAGAAAAUCAAAAACACAAGAGGCACUUAUUUCAAAACACACAACAAAUCAAUUUCCCUUUCUCAAUUAAGCACAAAGGUAAUGGCUUCGGUUGGUACUAACAAAUAGUCCACAUACAAACUUUUCACAAAAGAAAUCCUCUCAUUCUCAUGAAACAUUUUCAAAAACCAAGAAUCAUUUAAGUGA